UACGUAGGGUGCAAGCGUUGUCCGGAAUUAUUGGGCGUAAAGAGCUCGUAGGCGGUCUGUCGCGUCUGCUGUGAAAACUCAGGGCUUAACCCUGAGCUUGCAGUGGGUACGGGCAGACUAGAGUGCGGUAGGGGAGACUGGAAUUCCUGGUGUAGCGGUGAAAUGCACAGAUAUCAGGAGGAACACCGAUGGCGAAGGCAGGUCUCUGGGCCAUAACUGACGCUGAGAAGCGAAAGCAUGGGGAGCGAACAGG
rnacentral:rRNA from 1 species